GAUAAAAGGCUGAUGACUCCCAAGAGCUCUUAUCGACGGAGUCGUUUGGCACUUCGAUGUCGACUCAUCACAUCCUGGGGUUGAAGAAGGUCCCAAGGGUUCGGUUGUUCGCUGACUCAAGUGGUACGUGAGUUGGGUUUAGAAAGUCGUGAGACAGUUC
rnacentral:ncRNA from 1 species